UACGUAGGUGGCGAGCGUUGUCCGGAUUUACUGGGCGUAAAGGGCGUGUAGGCGGGGUUGCAAGUCAGAUGUGAAAUUCCGGGGCUUAACCUCGGCGCUGCAUCUGAAACUGUGAUUCUUGAGUGCUGGAGAGGAUAGUGGAAUUCCUAGUGUAGCGGUGAAAUGCGUAGAUAUUAGGAGGAACACCAGUGGCGAAGGCGGCUAUCUGGACAGUAACUGACGCUGAGGCGCGAAAGCGUGGGGAGCAAACAGG
rnacentral:rRNA from 1 species